rnacentral:rRNA from 1 species
GAUGAACGCUGGCGGCGUGCCUAAUACAUGCCAGUCGAGCGAACAGACGAGGAGCUUGCUCCUCUGACGUUAGCGGCGGACGGGUGAGUAACACGUGGAUAACCUACCUAUAAGACUGGGAUAACUUCGGGAAACCGGAGCUAAUACCGGAUAAUAUAUUGAACCGCAUGGUUCAAUAGUGAAAGACGGUUUUGCUGUCACUUAUAGAUGGAUCCGCGCCGCAUUAGCUAGUUGGUAAGGUAACGGCUUACCAAGGCAACGAUGCGUAGCCGACCUGAGGGGGUGAUCGGCCACACUGGAACUGAGACACGGUCCAGACUCCUACGGGAGGCAGCAGUAGGGAAUCUUCCGCAAUGGGCGAAAGCCUGACGGAGCAACGCCGCGUGAGUGAUGAAGGUCUUCGGAUCGUAAAACUCUGUUAUUAGGGAAGAACAAAUGUGUAAGUAACUAUGCACGUCUUGACGGUACCUAAUCAGAAAGCCACGGCUAACUACGUG